CACCAUAGGAGCCCUCCAUUGUCCGAGAGAAACCCAAACACUCCACAUCAGCUUUGUAUGUCGAUUUUUAGGAUUUGGGGAUUUUUCAACUUCGGAGCCCAGGAGCUACUGGUGGGGGGACUAGCCAAUCCGCGUCCC